GUGGAAUGCAUAGGAAUCUACCUAGUAGUAUGGGAUAGCCACUAGAAAUGGUGGGUAAUACUGUAUAAUCCCUGCGGGGGAAAGAUUUAUCGCUAUUAGAUGAGCCUAUGUUAGAUUAGCUAGUUGGUAGGGUAAAGGCCUACCAAGGCGAUGAUCUAUAGCUGGUCUGAGAGGAUGAUCAGCCACACUGGAACUGAGAUACGGUCCAGACUCCUACGGGAGGCAGCAGUGGGGAAUAUUGGACAAUGGGCGCAAGCCUGAUCCAGCUAUGCCGCGUGAGUGAGGAAGGCCUUAGGGUUGUAAAACUCUUUCAGUAGGGAAGAUAAUGACGGUACCUACAGAAGAAGUCCCGGCAAACUCCGUGCCAGCAGCCGCGGUAAUACGGAGGGGGCAAGCGUUGUUCGGAAUUAUUGGGCGUAAAGGGCAUGUAGGCGGUUCGGUAAGUUAAAGGUGAAAUGCCAGGGCUUAACCCUGGAGCUGCUUUUAUA
rnacentral:rRNA from 1 species